CACGGCGUCUGCGCAGUGAGACUCCAGUAGCCAAUUACAGACCUUGGACUCUGGUGCAGCAAGAACACGCUUUGGGCGCAGCCUGAUGAAGGGCAUCAUGGUUUACUGCCAGCACCAGCGUGGGAUGAAAGCAGGGCUAUGUGGCUGUGUGAAUUACAACUAAGUUAAAUCCUUUUGAACUCAGAUCUUCACAGCCUUCAGACACCAGAUCACGACUUCCAUGGCAUUUCCUGGAUGGCCUGGGCUUGAUGUAUAUUGAUGAUACCAAAUUCCAGAUGGUUGGAUUACUUUACCCAGUGCUUUCAUUAGGCUUUAAAUAAAAUAGACAAGAGAGUCAAGCUUUAUGAUAUAUCAUACAGAAAUGCCAGAAGGUUCAACACACAGUGACUAGAACUGCCUAUUCAGGAAGGAGCAGAGCCACCAUAAAACAGUGCCCCAAUUCCCAACUGUUACAGAUGGUCCAGAAGGAUACCAUGGUUGAUGUUACUGAAGGCUGUUGAGACAUCUGGCAGGAUGUUAGCACUCUUCAUGUUUCUAGCAGUCCAACUCUCUUUUACAGCCAAUUUCUGCUUCUGUCGUGAUAGGAACAGAAAUGCAGAACAAUGCCUUGAGAUACACCCAUGUUAAAUGUAUAUUUACAAAUGUAAGCCUAGUUGUCAGAUCACAAAUAUAGCUCUCUCUGUCAGGGUAUUCUUGUUGAACAGGUGCUAGAGAGAGAGCACAGAUCCUUCAGCACCGAUCAUUCCCAUUCUCAGUUUGAAGACCUUGCUUACAUGAUGACAACCAUGCUGACCAGUCACGCUCCCUCACAUGAGACGAACCUCCCAUCUUCUGGUGAUGGGAGAUCUUCCCUCCGAACACACAGUUACUGGAUUCAAGCUGCUCAGUCAAGCUGAAGAGCAGAGAUAUCAAGACAUGAGUGCUAAGAUUUUGUGACAAGCAUCUAAAUAUUUAAAGAA